GUGCUUGCUUCAGCAGCUCAUACGCUAAAAUUGGAACAAUACGGAAAAGAUCACGUGGCCCUGCGCACAGAUGACACACGAAUUCAUGAAGCAUCGCGGUUAUUU
ensembl:snRNA U6 U6 spliceosomal RNA